rnacentral:lncRNA from 1 species
UGACCAGCUGACGCGAUCGCACGCGUGAAUGCGCCCCUGCCAGGAUGUGCUGACCGUCCAGUUUCCCAGGGAUGUGCUGAGGAGUGUGUUGACCGACCUCCCACAGAAUGACAGGUAUCAGCCCAGACAGCCCCACACGUUUGUUCCAUGUGAAGAGCAGGGCUCAGAAAUGGUCUGGCUGCCAGAGCCAAGGAAAGCUGCAGGACAUCCCGAGGAGCAGGCCCUCCAUCCCACUGUGCUUUCCAGUGCUGGUGGGCAGCUCAGGGCUGCAGCAGCCAAUACCAACCAUGGCAGCCCAGAGCCCCCCAUCAGGCUCCUGCCUGAGCCAUGGUGCUGUGGCUAAGGCAGCCCUGCUGACACAGCAUUGCUCUCUGUUUAUAGCACUACCCUGGACAUACUGAAGAGUGUGCUGACCCUGCUGGAAGCAUCCAAGCGGAUCUGGGAUGAGCUCAGCAGUGUUCUACAGGACCAACAGCUGUGUGAGAUAUUGAGCAUCAGCACAGAGGAGUUGGGCCUCCUUCGCUUGACUGUGAGUUACUGGACAAUGCACCGUGCUCUCCUACAGAGCACUGGUAGCUCAGGCUGGGCUGUGUCUCCCUAGUGCCCUGCCUUGAGCUGCCAGAGCAGCCAGGAGCUGCAGGGUGCAGGAUGUCCUGCUGCCUCUGCCUGCCUCUCACUGCUGUGUUGGUUUCAGGCGAUGCCUCCCACUGAAGAGCUGGUGAAGGAGCUGUGUAAGCCAGCACUGCUCCAGAAGCUUCUGAAUGUGGAAAGCCUGCCAGUGCUCUGGCUGGUGCUCAGACGUCUCGUGCUGCUGUCGGAUAGACCUGAGACGGCAAUUGAAAUCCGGGCCCUGCUUCCAGGCGUCAUGGAGAACCUGCUGUUUGCCAACACAGCCAUUACUGUGAAGGUGCUGAAUAUCUUCAGGAAUGCAAUGCACCAUCUGGGGAAGAGGCACGCCAGUCCGUUUGCUCUGGAGCUGGCUGAGAAGAUCCUGCCUCUUUUUAAUCACGCAUCAUCUGAAGUGCGAGAAGGUUCCAUCCGCCUCUUCAUGGAUGUGAUGGAUGCUGUGCUGUGGUCUCAGAAGGGAAGCAUGAAGAAGACCGUGCGCAGGGCCCUGCUCCCUCUGCUCUUUCACAUGAGUGACGAGACCCUGAGCGUAGCACAGGUACGAAUUUCAGAGCUGAGCAGUGUGCAGGCAGUGGUGUGCUGACAGUUCAGCUGUGAUGUGCAAUUGAGAGCAAGUUCAGCAAGCAUUCAGACACUGGGAUGUGUGUCUGUGUGUGUGGUGCCAUGUCCCUGCAUCUGUUGUUCUGUAGGCAUCUGCGGAUGCCCUUGCAUCUUGUGGAAGGUUCCUGAAGUGGGAUGAGCUCAGCAGCAAGGCCUGGAUCAUGAAUUGAAUAUCAGUGGGGAUCAUGAAGUGUUUGGUGAGGACAAUCUCACAGCCCCCACCUUUUUGCUGGGGGAAAGGGGAUGCUGGAGGAGGGGUUGCAGCAGCAGCUGUGGCUGCUCUGCAAGCCCCAUGCUCUUGUGCUCUUCUUCAGCUGCAGCAGGACAGAAAGGGAGUGGAAGGCCAACUGCAGCAGAGCCUACCAUACCUGGAGGAUUCUCAGGCCUCCUUGCGAUGCGAGGCUGUCAGAUUCAUUGGUGAGCCCAACCCCUGUGUCCCUCUUUGGGCCCUGCCCUGGCAGGAAUGCACAGCCCUGAAGCCCCCAGGUACAGCCUGCCCAUGCCGGUAGCCCCAGUGGGUGCCUUGCUCAGGUCCCCCCUCGGGCACCGUAUGGGGGAGUGGGUGUCUGACGGAGUUCUUUCCCUAGGGCUGAUUGGGAAGCACUCCAGGGAGCAGAGUGAGGAGAUGCUGAAUGAACUCUGCAGUGGUGAGUGAGGGCAGUGCUGUGUGUGUUGGGGCUGGGGGCAGAGCUGGGCAGCAUGCAGCUGUGCUUUGCCCUGCUGCAAGGAAAUGCUGCAGGGACAGAGGAGCAUUCCUGGCAAUCCUGAGCAGUGUCUUCCUGCUGACCCGUCAGUCUCCCGUGCUCCUCCAGGCCAGAAAUAGCAAGGAGUUGGGCUGGCAAGGCCCAGAGGGGAAGCUGGUGGCUCUCUGCAUACUUGGGGUUCAAUCUCUGCUCUGUUUCCUUCUGUUGCAGCCCUACAGCCGUUGGAAGAUGACCCCCAUCUGGCAGUUCGUGUUGUGGCAUCUGAAACCAUCCAGAUACUGCGACAACAAAGGCAGAAGGCGGCACCAGCACGGAGAAGGCUCCCAGCACUUUUCCGCUGGUCCUGCAUAGCCUUCUGAGGGAUAAUUCUUGUUCAUCAACGUUGCUAGGACACCUGUACAGCAACGUUACUGGGACACGCGUUCCUGUCAUGCAAGACAGACCCCCUGAACAACGGCAGGCGCCUUGGAGUACUGACAUCUUGGAAGAAAGAACAGGAACCAAGGUGGUUAGAACUGGGUCUGUAGGUAGUGACUAUUGAAAUUGAAAAGCACGAUAGAAAGCCUUUGCAAGGAAGAUCUGGAGAAGACGUCUGCCCGUGACCACUAGAGAGCAGCACGCAUGCACACAGAUGCAGAACUGAUCAUAAUUACACUGACUAAAUUGUAACUCCUCAUAUGAGUUCUUGGAACUUAAACAAGCAAGCAGAAAAGUUGUGGUUUAUUCUAGCUUUUGCAAAGCCGGAAUGCUGGGCAGCAAAGCUCCUGCUUGCUUAUAGUGCUGUGUGCCUGGACAUAAGUGUCAUGUGGAAAAAGACAAAGAAACACAUUUUCUUUGCCUAUGUCUUGGAGAGCCAGGAAUCCAGAAUUCAAGAUCUUUGCUUUUGAGUUUGCAAUUCAAAACCGGAUUAGAAAGGAUUCUGCAAACUUUCUUUGAUGACAUUAGACUCUUCAUUAACAACAAUACUGUUUCUAAUACUACUAAUAACAGCAACACAACAACAAAAUAAUGGAAGAUGAAGGAAGACAUGGGGACAAGAGUCACUGGAGGAAAUUUCUCCUUUGAACUGAAUUGGUGUUAGUGUCCCCGUGCACAAGAACCAAGGAGAGAGCAAGCAUGUUUUGUACUCUUCAGAAUGCAGUGUGGUUCAUCUUAUUGUCAUCCAAAUGAGACCGGGAUUUCACUGCAUUGUUGGAAAUGGGAAAACAGUGCCAAAGUUGCAAUUUUGAAAUGGAAAAAUUGCAAUUUUAAAAGCCCACAGCAAUAGAGUGGAGAAGAUCACCAGCAAAUCCAGUAGCAUUUGCCCUUGGAGUAAAAGCAACAGCAACAGUCAACCAAAGAAGCGGAUGUUCAUCCAUUCCAUGUACUUUUGUAAGGACGUGAAAGCAAGCAGACUUACCUGAAGGUGGUGUAACGUUAGUGGUAAACAUCACCAAGCUCCCUCCAAAAGUGGACUUGACCUUUUGUCUCUGCGACCAUCUACGUACAGAGGGAGCUACUGGAGAGCUGUGCUCGGAUCCUUCAGUUUUCAUGUCUCUUACCAUCUCUCUUCCAGAAGAUCUUGCGAAGAAAGGCUUUUCCUGUGAGGAUGAAACACAGAUAGGAAAUGUUACAUCUAGUUUUGCUGUGGGAGUUUACCUCUGUGUGUGACACAUUCAUUCUUCUGACAGCUGCUAACACUCAGUUUAUUAAUAAAAAUCAUUCCUUUAUUACUUUGUGCCUUGCA